UAAGGAAUAUUGGUUAAUGGACGCAAGUCUGAACCAGCCAUGCCGCGUGGAGGAUGAAGGUCCUCUGGAUUGUAAACUUCUUUUAUCUGGGACGAAACACUUCUUUUCUAAGAGGCCUGACGGUACCAGAUGAAUAAGCACCGGCUAACUCCGUGCCAGCAGCCGCGGUAAUACGGAGGGUGCAAGCGUUAUCCGGAUUCACUGGGUUUAAAGGGUGCGUAGGUGGGUAUGUAAGUCAGUGGUGAAAUCCCCGAGCUUAACUUGGGAACUGCCAUUGAUACUAUAUAUCUUGAAUACCGUAGAGGUAAGCGGAAUAUGUCAUGUAGCGGUGAAAUGCUUAGAUAUGACAUGGAACACCAAUUGCGAAGGCAGCUUACUAUGCGGUGAUUGACACUGAGGCACGAAAGCGUGGGUAGCAAACA
rnacentral:rRNA from 1 species